rnacentral:lncRNA from 1 species
AGAGUUCAAGGUCUUAAUGGCUACUCUAUGCGGCCUCUCAUAGUCUUUUCAAGGGUUUUGGAGAAGAAUAAAAGAUCAGAUGAGUCAAUGGUGUUACUGGACCCUGUGAACUGAUGCUGUGAAGAGAGGCCAUUUAACACGGACUACGGGGAAUGGUGCCACAGGGGGCUCAGUGCUGCCCUUCACUCUCAGCAUUUUGCUCACUCAGCAUUGAUGACAGGAUGUCCCAAAAGUAACAAAAGAUGGGAGCCAGUCCUCUCAUAGCUGUUUCUUCAAUCAUCCCAUCAACAGCUCUUCAUUUAUUGAACUACCUUCCUUUUCCAAAGAGGUAAUGCUGAGAUCAGUCAGAAAGGCUUUCUGAGAAAACUGGCUUGGAUUUCUGGGUCUGUUGCAGUCAAUUCAAGAUGAACUGGCUUGUAUCAAUGAAGCGCUCAAUGCAGUUCACAAAACAGGCCUCAGCCCGACUGUCCAACUUUGGCCCAGGCUUGUCCAUGCACUUCUCCCAACAAAGUUCAGUCAUCUGGUGCACCAGCUGCUGGAAGCGCUGCUUUUGAGUCUCUACCUCAAUGAAAAUGCUGCAACUGCGGGUCCACUGCACCCAAACCCGCCGCAGAGGAAGAGCAGGAGGAAUCCAUCCCAGGACAACCAUGCUUGCAGAGACGAACUCCGCACCAACCUUCACGUGUCUCCACGACCUAGUUAAUCAAUUUAAAAUGAGGUCACUAGGGUGGGCCCCAAUCCAAUAUGACUGAUAACUUUAUAAAAAGGAGAGAUUUGGAUACAGAAAGAGACAGAGUGAAAACCAUGUGAAGAAACAUAGGAAAAGAUGGCAGCUACAAGCCAAGGAGAAGCUUGCAGUGUGUAUUCAUCUGUUCUCAUGCUGUUAAUAAAGACAUACCUGAGACUGGGUAAUUUA